UGAAUGAGUGAAUGUCGUCUCAUACUGCAGUCAGCAAUAUUGCAGCCAUAUGAAGGCAGCCUGUAAACCAGUAAUUGAUACGCACACCAUCCUAGUACAUAAAACAUUCGCUCUCCAUGCCUAUUUAUGGUGUCCCCGUCGUGAUUUUGCUGGGAUAUUGCCAAAAGAUGCGUAAAUCCAUGCUCUCUCAAUUCAACAUGCCAUGCCUUGACAGACAAAACGAAAUACAAAAUAUAACAUUUAUACUUACAAUUUUGCAAUGCAGUGUGCUUCAUCAAUGAAAAUUGCCAUCAAAAUCUUCUCUUUAGUCAGGCUGUGUUCCAAGAACUGUCUCUGGACUUGCAAAUAUUAUUAUGUCAGUGUCAGGGUGAAAAAACCGUCACAGUAGCAUGGUUGGAGUUAUUAAGUUUCUUAAACACGAAUGGGGCUAAUUCAAAAGUAAGUGAUUUUCCUGAUCCUGUUGGAGAAAAAAAAGGACAUCCUUUCCUCUGAGGUAACUUACAAUCACUUGUCUUUGAUGAUUCCUGAAGUGAUCAAUUAUGUAACUGCAUUACCUUCCAUACCAACAGUUAUACAUGUAGUUAAGUUAAAUAGAGGGCGUAUAUACUUAAAACACAACAUCAAUCCUUUGUUCCGUUCAGCAGUGUGUCAGAUUCGUGAUGGCUAGCUUGAGGUGGCUAGACUUGCUUUUUGUAUGCAUUACUAGAUUAUUUUUUUAAAUGAAAUAAAUAUAUUCCACGGUCAUUGGUGCAGGACUAAUUGUGUAUAUCACCUGAAUUUUGGUCAAUACCUGAAAUACUCAGUCGCCAAUACAGCCCCUAUUUCAUAUAAGGUUAUGAAAAUACAUGUCGGUUGGAGCCUGAAGCCUGAAGUAGAAUUUAGGUUAUUACACGGAUGAUAUACAUGUAAGGCCGAAAAUUGAUGAACUUCUUUAUUAUGAAGAACACAAUGUUUGGGACUAAUAUCAUUAGUUGAAGGAGUAAGUAUUACACCCAAACGUUCUGUUCCACACAAUGCGUUUCACUUCUGAAUGUUUUUCUAAGAGUUGAUACAUACACUUGCCUUGUAUAUAUGGUUGAUGCACGUCGAGUGUCUCAGAAACGCGGGAUCUGCAGGUAUUAGAGCUGAAUACAGUUGUGAUUUGACGAAUUCUUUUUCUUUUGACUCUUCCUCUUAUUUCGUUUUUCAGCUUAGCAUUGUGUAUACACAACGUAAUUAACGGAUUCUGACAUCAGCCACAUAUCUCGGACCACCCCACGAGUCUCUCUUAACCGUUCAAUUAACGUUCCGCUUGGUGUUGCCACACCUGUCCGCCAUCUGCUGUUGAGAUACUGUAACGGUUCUCGUCUGAAAAGAGGACUUCUCCCACUGCUGGUGCUGUGCUACCCACUGAAGACGGUCCAGGAAACAAAGAAGAAGACUGAAAGGAUACCACUGGGAGUGCUUCAGUGAGGACCUCAGUGACCGUUCUCCAUCACAGUAGGUGCUCAGCGGAGGGGACUACCUCACCCUUGAGAGGCAGAAACAAGCCAAUCAUGCACUUACGAGAUGGACCUACACCAAGUUCCAGAUUACAAGGACUUGUUCCAAAGAUGGAAGAGUUCCAUAACGAAGCUGAAUUUCUAAAGGUUAUAUGGAAACACUUGUACUCGUCCUCCUCUAACAAGUCUGUUUGGCACUCUGCAUGCUGCAAAGGAGCACAAUAAAUGCGGUGAAUGUUACUCAGGAUCCUCAUGACAACUUUUACCCAUGCUCUGAAUUCAUGGACAAGGUCACCACCGCCUACAUCGUAACUCGGGGACUACAUUACUUCCAAAUGGAACACCUCACUUCUGUCCCAACGUCAAGUUACAUGGGUGCUGUUGGCAAUCCAUAUAAAAUGAUUGAUUAUUUUCUAGGUCAUGCAGCAAAACAGUUUGUAGACAAGCACGUCUUACCGGAGGUUCCUCAACAGCCAGGUCAUGGUCUCCAAAUCAAACACACUAGCCUGCAGGUACUGUGGAAAACUGUACCAGAGACCAAAAGCUCUCCGCAAACACGAAGCAUCCGGAAUAUAAUGCUGAAAACAAUCAGGAUUCCACAUCUUCAGCAGAAUCAAGAUCAUCUAUUUAUCAGUACACCCGUCUGUCUCUCAUGCUUGGGCUUCUUCGAAUAAAUCACAACGAUUCCAUUCACAUGGGAGAUGGUGGCAGGCAUGAUGAGACUAGUAAAGUGGUUCUGUUUAUACUACAAGGCAAGCAAAUGUCCAAAGUAUGCAUAUGGUCUCCUUUGAAACACAGGCAAAGGCAUAUGCUCUCCUAUAUGAACGGCAGGCUUUAUAGAUUGAUAUGGAACCGCACAGUCAACCAUCAAGGCAGAGAAGACACCAAUCAUCCCAUCGACCUUGACUUGGAGCAUUGCAACAGGGCUUUCAAAGAUGAUGUACACACAUACAAGGGGAGGUACACAGAUAAAAGACGAUUCUCAAAGUCAGCAGAAGUGCGCUGUCAAUGGAAGAAUUAUGCCAAAAAUACGACAAAUUGGCAUUCCGCAAGAAAUGUUCGGGAAGGCAUGGAGUUGUUGAUCCUUCUUGGUGAUAUUCUUAAACUUGUAGAACAAUUCCAUUCCUAUGCAGCUCUAUUCAAUGAGGCCAACAAGCCACUGCCACAGAGAAAUCAAAAACAUGCUGAGUGACAUCCAAAAUUGGAUUUCAGAAAGUCUUAAAGUCUUCAGUAGCCGCACAUACUAUAACAUCUGAACCUUUUUUCCCGAUGUGUAAUUCAGUGUCACAUGAUUAAAACGAGACCCUGUUGCAAAGUCGCUAUCACUGUAUGUUUCAUGAUCUUCAUGUUCUGAGUCUGAGUGAGAUGAUGAGCUAUCACUCGAGUCAAGGGAAGUUUUGUACAACUCAAGAAUAUCACAUCUACAUUCACUACAUGGGGUAAUUGCAUGUCCAUGAGUCUCUGCAGUCACAGAGACACUUGCAAGAUAUGGCACAGUUGUCCAUAGCACUCAUGACUUCAGUAAAGCUCAACUCGUCGACAUACGUUGGUUCUGACAUACUGUUUCAUUUCAUCCGAAAUAUUCCGCCUGCCACUGAGACAUCGUCUAAAUUUCAUGAGAAGAGCAUGUGCCUGCUUUUCUGGAUCCCUGCCUGCUCCGUCCUUGUCUCUUGAAUAUAAUCCUCAACAUUAUUGGCUGGACCAUAGUGGAUGACGGUUUCCACACUUUGUAAGUCCCAAGCUGAAUGGUGUUGAGCAAUGGACUAUCAAGGGACUAUCAUCCUCUUGAAACCAUUUGGAUCCAUGAAGGACUCUGACACACUUCCCUGUUUUCCUUCUCAUUCAUACAUAUUCUGUAUGUUGUUAUGCAUGAUUGAUGUUGAACUUUAAUUGAAACUUUAGCUUGAAAAUUGGCCGAUUUCUUUUAUGAAAUUUAACUCCUAUUAUAAGAAUAAGAUCAACAUAUGCAAAAACAAUUGUUGUUAGAUGAUUAUUUUUUUGUAACCGAUCAACAAGAUCAACUUUAGUGUUUUAGUGUUUUAACUUAGCUAAUGUAAUGUAAUACAGUGGAUGUAUGCAUUCCUUUUUCAUAAGGGCAUUAACAUAUAUUACAUAAUGCCUCUACCUGGGACUGCGGCCAAACUUACAAAAUUAACCCUUGUUUGAGAGUAACAAGUAUCAAGUUCAUGAUGAUUGUAGAAGUGAUUGUAUGUAUUCAUAAAUGUGACACAUGCACAUUUUGAAAUGUUAAUAUUUGUGCUUUAACUUUGAUUUGAUGAAUAUCAAAUUAGAUAUUGUAUACACUUUAUAGCUACUUGUGAUCAGUGCACAUUUUUAUACCUUUAGAUUGUGCAGUUUCAUAGUGGUUAGUAAGAAUAUUUUGUGAAUUUAUACUUGUUUUAUCACAAAACAUGUGAAUGAGUGAAUGUCGUCUCAUACUGCAGUCAGCAAUAUUGCAGCCAUAUGAAGGCAGCCUGUAAACCAGUAAUUGAUACGCACACCAUCCUAGUACAUAAAACAUUCGCUCUCCAUGCCUAUUUAUGGUGUCCCCGUCGUGAUUUUGCUGGGAUAUUGCCAAAAGAUGCGUAAAUCCAUGCUCUCUCAAUUCAACAUGCCAUGCCUUGACAGACAAAACGAAAUACAAAAUAUAACAUUUAUACUUACAAUUUUGCAAUGCAGUGUGCUUCAUCAAUGAAAAUUGCCAUCAAAAUCUUCUCUUUAGUCAGGCUGUGUUCCAAGAACUGUCUCUGGACUUGCAAAUAUUAUUAUGUCAGUGUCAGGGUGAAAAAACCGUCACAGUAGCAUGGUUGGAGUUAUUAAGUUUCUUAAACACGAAUGGUGCUAAUUCAAAAGUAAGUGAUUUUCCUGAUCCUGUUGGAGAAAAAAAAGGACAUCCUUUCCUCUGAGGUAACUUACAAUCACUUGUCUUUGAUGAUUCCUGAAGUGAUCAAUUAUGUAACUGCAUUACCUUCCAUACCAACAGUUAUACAUGUAGUUAAGUUAAAUAGAGGGCGUAUAUACUUAAAACACAACAUCAAUCCUUUGUUCCGUUCAGCAGUGUGUCAGAUUCGUGAUGGCUAGCUUGAGGUGGCUAGACUUGCUUUUUGUAUGCAUUACUAGAUUAUUUUUUUAAAUGAAAUAAAUAUAUUCCACGGUCA